rnacentral:rRNA from 1 species
CCCAGUAAACGGCGGCCGUAACUAUAACGGUCCUAAGGUAGCGAAAUUCCUUGUCGGGUAAGUUCCGACCCGCACGAAAGGCGUAACGAUUUGGGCACUGUCUCAACGAGAGACUCGGUGAAAUCAUAGUACCUGUGAAGAUGCAGGUUACCCGCGACAGGACGGAAAGACCCCGUGGAGCUUUACUGUAGCCUGAUAUUGAAAUUCGGCACAGCUUGUACAGGAUAGGUAGGAGCCUUUGAAACGUGAGCGCUAGCUUACGUGGAGGCGCUGGUGGGAUACUACCCUAGCUGUGUUGGCUUUCUAACCCGCACCACUUAUCGUGGUGGGAGACAGUGUCAGGCGGGCAGUUUGACUGGGGCGGUCGCCUCCUAAAAGGUAACGGAGGCGCUCAAAGGUUCCCUCAGAAUGGUUGGAAAUCAUUCAUAGAGUGUAAAGGCAUAAGGGAGCUUGACUGCGAGACCUACAAGUCGAGCAGGGUCGAAAGACGGACUUAGUGAUCCGGUGGUUCCGCAUGGAAGGGCCAUCGCUCAACGGAUAAAAGCUACCCCGGGGAUAACAGGCUUAUCUCCCCCAAGAGUUCACAUCGACGGGGAGGUUUGGCACCUCGAUGUCGGCUCAUCGCAUCCUGGGGCUGUAGUCGGUCCCAAGGGUUGGGCUGUUCGCCCAUUAAAGCGGUACGCGAGCUGGGUUCAGAACGUCGUGAGACAGUUCGGUCCCUAUCCGUCGUGGGCGUAGGAAAUUUGAGAGGAGCUGUCCUUAGUACGAGAGGACCGGGAUGGACAUACCUCUGGUGUACCAGUUGUCGUGCCAACGGCAUAGCUGGGUAGCUAUGUGUGGACGGGAUAAGUGCUGAAAGCAUCUAAGCAUGAAGCCCCCCUCAAGAUGAGAUUUCCCAACUUCGGUUAUAAGAUCCCUCAAAGAUGAUGAGGUUA